GGUAUUCAUAGCAUUUCUAUGCAGCUACACAGUGAUUAAAAUAUUAAUCCAAGCUCAGAGAAACUUCCAUUCAAUUUGUUCCCUCCUUUGGGUAUUUAUUCACCCUCAUAUCUCUCUCGACCCUAAAUGGUGAUCAGAAAAUGGUGAGGAAAAGAAAAAGUUGAAAACAUACAGGCCCUGAGGCAUUCAGUCACUCAAGCUGAUGAAGCAUGUAUAAAACAUAUGGAGUUCCUAAGAAUGGCCACUUCACAUCAGACCAUUACCUUGUCUCCAGCAGCAGCCAACGGUGGAUGCACUCUGGGCAAGAACAGAGAACAAGAGAACAAAUCAAUAAAAGCCCAUACUGUUCCUGCCAGUGUUA